CUACGGGCGGCUGCAGUUAGGAAUAAUCUACAAUGCGCGCAAGCGUGAUAGUUUGAGUCAGAGUGCGCUUCAAUUUGGAGUGCUUUUGCCGAAUGUAAAAAGUUCGGCGAAUAAGGACUGGGUAAGACGAGUGCCAGCCGCCGCGGUAAUACUCGCGGUCCAAGUCGCAGCCAUUUUUAUUGGGUCUAAAACAUCCGUAGCUUGCUUCUUAAGUUCCUUGUGAAAUUCUAUAUCUUAAAUAUGGAGCGCGCAGGGAUUACUGGGAAGCUAGAGACUGGAAGACGUAACGAGUACGUUCUAAGUAGUGGUAAAAUAUGUUAAUCUAGGACGGACUAACAAUAGCGAAGGCACGUUACGAGGACAGUUCUGACAGUAAGGGAUGAAGGCUAGGGGCGCAAAACGGAUUAGAUACCCCCGUAGUC
rnacentral:rRNA from 1 species